GACGAACGCUGGCGGCGUGCCUAAUACAUGCAAGUAGAACGCAGUUGCGAACGGGUGAGUAACGCGUAGGUAACUGCCUGGUAGCGGGGGAUAACUAUUGGAAACGAUAGCGAAUACCGCAUACUACCAGAUGGACCUGCGUUGUAUUAGCUAGUUGGUGGGGUAACGGCUCACCAAGGCAACGAUACAUAGCCGACCUGGGCGGGGUAUCGACCCCACUGGGACUGGGACCCGGCCCCGACUCCUUCGGGAUGCCGCAGUAGGGAAUCUUCGGCAAUGGGGGGAACCCUGACCGAGCAACGCCGCGUGAGUGAAGAAGGUUUUCGGAUCGUAAAGCUCUUUUGUUAAGGAAGCGGUACUUAACCAGAAAGGGACGGCUAACUACGUGCCAGCAGCCGCGGUAAUAC
rnacentral:rRNA from 1 species